AGUGAACGCUGGCGGUAGGCCUAACACAUGCAAGUCGAACGGCAGCACAGGAGAGCUUGCUCUCUGGGUGGCGAGUGGCGGACGGGUGAGGAAUACAUCGGAAUCUACUCUGUCGUGGGGGAUAACGUAGGGAAACUUACGCUAAUACCGCAUACGACCUACGGGUGAAAGCAGGGGACCUUCGGGCCUUGCGCGAUUGAAUGAGCCGAUGUCGGAUUAGCUAGUUGGCGGGGUAAAGGCCCACCAAGGCGACGAUCCGUAGCUGGUCUGCGAGGAUGGUCAGCCACACUGGAACUGAGCAACGGUCAAGACUCCGACGGGAGGCAGCAGUGGGGAAUAUUGGACAAUGGGAGCAAGCCUGAUCCAGCCAAACCGCGUGGGUGAAGAAGGCCUUCGGGUUGUAAAGCCCUUUUGUUGGGAAAGAAAUCCAGCUGGCUAAUACCCGGUUGGGAUGACGGUACCCAAAGAAUAAGCACCGGCUAACUUCGUGCCAGCCGCCGCCGUAA
rnacentral:rRNA from 1 species